GCCGGCUAAAAGUCGGAGGAAGGUGGGGAUGACGUCAAAUCAUCAUGCCCCUUAUGACCUGGGCUACACACGUGCUACAAUGGGCGGUACAAAGGGUCGCGAACCCGCAGGGGGAGCCAAUCCCAAAAAGCCGCUCUCAGUUCGGAUUGCAGGCUGGCAACUCGCCUGCAUGAAGCCGGAAUCGCUAGUAAUCGCGGAUCAGCAUGCCGCGGUGAAUACGUUCCCGGGCCUUC
rnacentral:rRNA from 1 species